GGGAGAGCGACUGAUUUGAGAUUAAGUUCAGUCGCCGGUGGCCAAUGAUUAAAUCAAUCAUGCCUGUGUGAUGAAGCCUGUAUAAAAGUCUAAGAAGCCUGUCUGGAGAGUUUCUGGUUGGGACUCACCGUGUGGAAGUUGCAAGCUCUGGUGGCUACUGCAGGGCCGUCCUGGUUUCCGAGCUUCUAGAGAAGAAAAGCCAGCAGGCUCCCAGACAAAGUUAAAAAAGGUUCCCGUUUAAUUUGGAAGGACACCUGCAGGCUCCUCGGACGCAAGCCGCUCGUGGAUUCUGCAAACAGAUGGUGACAGCAGAAGCCAGUCGAUCCAGAUCCCACUGUUAGAGGAGGAGGCAGAAUUCACAACCAGGUCUUCUGACUCUCAACCCAACACUUAGUAGAGAAGAACAUCUGUUAUCUGCUUUAAAAUGUUAUGGAGACAGCUGAAAUAAUGUAUGCUUAAUACUUUGGAGGAAAAUGUGAAGCAAAUUAAAGAUUGCACUUCAAGAGAUGAGAAGGGCAAAAGUGUCAUUUUGGGGGGUCUGCAUUUUGGGGUCUGUGCUUGGAU